UACGGAGGUGGCAAGCGUUGCUCGGAAUCACUGGGCGUAAAGGGCGCGUAGGCGGGGAGGUAAGUCGGGUGUGAAAUCCCUCGGCCCAACCGAGGAACUGCGCCCGAGACUGCUUCUCUUGAGUCCCGGAGAGGAAGGUGGAAUUCCCGGUGUAGCGGUGAAAUGUGUAGAGAUCGGGAGGAACACCGGUGGCGAAGGCGGGUCUCUGGGCCGAUACUGACGCUGAGGAGCGAAAGCGUGGGGAGCAAACAGG
rnacentral:rRNA from 1 species